rnacentral:rRNA from 1 species
GGUACAUGGGUAGCAAUACCUGAUGACUACCGGCAAACGGGUGCGGAACACGUACGCAACUUACCCCAAAAUCUGGUGAAUAGCCCUCCGAACAGGAGGAUUCAAUACACCGUAAGCAUAAUGAGCACGGCAUCGUCUUAUUAUUAUAGGCAGCAAUGUCGAGUUUUGGAUGGGACGUGCGCCUGAUUAGGUAGUUGGCGGGGUAACGAGAACCACCAAGCCUGCGAUCAGUAACUGGUGUGAGAACACGACCAGUCACACGGGCACUGAGACACGGGCCCGACUCCUACGGGAGGCAGACAGUACAGGAAUCAUUGGUCAAUGGACGAAAGUCUGAACCAGACAUGCCGCGUGAAGGAAUGAAGGACCCUCUGGGUUAGUAAAACAUUCUUUUAUAGGGGACGAAAAGAAGCUCAUUCUUGAGACACUUGACGGU